UGCCCACUGAUAUUAUAUAUUAAAGGGCUGCAGUAUUUUGACUGUACAAAGGUAGCAUAAUCAUUAGUCAUUUAAUUGAUGACUUGUAUGAAAGAUUGGAUGAAAUAUAAACUGUCUUUAAAGUAAAUUAUAAAAUUUAAUUUUUAAGUUAGAAAGCUUAAAUAUUUUAAAAAGACGAGAAGACCCUAUAGAGUUUUAUUAUUGAUUUGAAUAUGGGUUUUUAUAAUAAUAUUAUUUUUAUUUAAAUUAAUAAUUUUAUUGGGGUGAUAGAAAAAUUAAUUUAACUUUUUUUUUUUUUUUACAUAAAUAAGUGAUUUAAUGAUCCAAUUAUAUUGAUUAAAAGAAAAAAUUACCUUAGGGAUAACAGCGUUAUUUUAUUUUUUAGUUCAAAUAAGAAAUAGAGUUUGCGACCUCGAUGUUGGAUUAAGAUAAAAUUUAAAUGCAGAAGUUUAAA
rnacentral:rRNA from 1 species